rnacentral:lncRNA from 1 species
GUCGAUGUUACUGAUUUUACGCAGGUGGCAUGGGCAGAAACAAGCUACCUAGGCUGUGGUUACGCACACUACAAGGCUCGGCAGAACCCGGACCCACACUUUCCUUUUCAAAAGAUAUUCGCUUGCCACUAUGCACCAGGUGGAAACAUUAAUGGAGCGUCCAUGUACAAGCGAGGUGCGACUUGCAGCGCGUGCCCAGAUGGAACUACCUGUGAUUCUGCCAGUGGUCUCUGCCACACACCUGGCGCGUCGGACGGGAACGGAAAAUCGGAGAGCAGCGGCGGCAGCGGGACACUAUGGAUAAUACUGGCGUGUGGCCUCCUGGGUAUUCUCGCUGCUACUGGUGUAGCCAUUGGAUAUUUGUACGCGAACUCAGGCACUGCCGCUUUAUCUGUAACUCAGUGAGAACGUUCCUGUCUUACUAUCUGCUACAAGAUUCAGGAGCCUA